rnacentral:lncRNA from 1 species
GGGGGGGGAUGAUACGAUCAUGGACCCAGAGCAUGACCCAGAUAAAGAAGUCGAGGUUCCAGAAGCUCACUUAGCCGUACCAGAAAAACCCAUGACGCGAUCCAGGGCCAAGAAGCUGGCAGGGGCGGUUCAAGCUGUGCUUAAUGGGAUCAAGACAGGACCUGACGACCCAGCAUCACCCAAGAUCGUGACCGUGCUCGUGAACGCCGGCUGUAGCUAACCUGGUCCGGG